AUGGAUGGCCUGGUUGUGUGCGAAGGAUGCAGUUCUCACGCGCAAGCUAGGGUUGGAGCCGCCAGCUCUUCAUCCUGCCCGCCGGCGGCGAGUCUUCCUGUCCCGCACUUCCGCCUCCCCAUUAUCACAGCCCCUGAGCAAAAGUUGCUGGAGUCUUUGAAGGAGUUGGAGAAGUCUCUAGCGAUGCAAGUUCGUCUUAAACCUGAGUCCGAAUCCAAUUUCGUGGGAACAAGCAUAUAUUCCAUGAAUUUUCCAUUAGAUUCAGUGGACAGGUUCAUCUGGUCCUUUACUCCUCACAUAAUAACUGUGAAACUUAAUGAGGAAGGUUAUCCUUUCUUCAAGGACUGGAAGUUUCCUGUAGUCUUCAUUUUGGCCAUGUACCUUCAAACUGAACCAAAAAUGUUGAUAAGACAUGGGCUGGACUUACUUCCGAUGUGCAAUAUUUUCGGUAAAGUGAUUCAAGUGAAACUGGGAAUUGGACGUGCGCUCUUCUACUCGGCUACUCGGACGUGCCCUCAGGGUACUCAGCUCAUGAGCCUCCCACUAUUCCUUGUGAAGCAGCAAAUGCAACAUACCUAA
rnacentral:rRNA from 1 species